AGUGGACUUACAAGUCCGAAGCCAAUGUAGCUUGGAAAACUUGGGAGGCGGAAUUCCUACCGCUGGGAACUGAAAGGGUCUGCGACACUCUCGGGCAGGCCGAACCCACAUCUCUACCCAUCCUGCGCCCCUCUUCUGAAGCGCCCUCCAGGGAAGUUAAGAGUUUUGACUUUCGGGGAGUGGUUGGGAUGUACGUGGGGGAUUCUUGACUCGGGUUAGUCUCUGGGGAUGCAGAGCCGGGAAGAGGAAUGUUCCACCAGGUGAGAAGAGUGAUGACCAUCCUUUUCCUUACUAUGGUUAUUUCAUACUUUGGUUGCAUGAAGGCUGCCCCCAUGAAAGAAGCAAACAUCCGAGGACAAGGUGGCUUGGCCUACCCAGGUGUGCGGACCCAUGGGACUCUGGAGAGCGUGAA
rnacentral:lncRNA from 1 species